GCGUGGAUUAGGCAUGCAAGUCGAACGAGAACAUGCAGGUUCAAGCCUUCGGGCAAGAACCUGUGUGGGAGAGUGGCGAACGGGUGAGUAACAUGUGGGUAAUCUACCAUCGAGUUGGGGAUAACUCGCCGAAAGGCGGGCUAAUACCGAAUGUGGUCGUGUCACGCAUGUGACACUGUCUAAAGGCGGGGAACCUUAGGGUCCUGUCGCUUGAUGAUGAGCCUGCGGCCUAUCAGCUUGUUGGUGAGGUAAUGGCUCACCAAGGCAUACGGGUAGCUGGUCUGAGAGGAUGGUCAGCCACACUGGGACUGAGACACUGCCCAGACUCCUACGGGAGGCUGCAGUCGAGAAUCAUUCACAAUGCGCGAAAGCGUGAUGAUGCGACGCUGCGUGGAGGAUGAAGGCCUUCGGGUCGUAAACUCCUGUCAUUCGGGAACAAUCCCGACAGCACUAAUAGUGCUGCCGGGUGAUGGUACCGAAAGAGGAAGUCACGGCUAACUCUGUGCCAGCAGCCGCGGUGAUACAGAGGUGGCUAGCGUUGUUCGGAUUCACUGGGCUUAAAGGAUGCGUAGGCGGUAGUGCAUGUCAGAUGUGAAAUCUCACUGCUCAACGGUGAGCGUGCGCUUGAAACUGCAUUACUAGAGUGCGGGGGAGGAGAGCGGAAUUCUUGGUGUAGCGGUGAAAUGCUUAGAUAUUACACAGAACACCGAUUGCGAAGGCAGCUUACUAAACUAUGAUUGACGCUGAGGUACGAAAGCGUGGGGAGCGAACAGGAUUAGAUACCCUGGUAGUCCACGCUGUAAACGAUGAUCACUCGUUGUUGGCGAUAUACUUGUCAGCGACUGAGCGAAAGCAUUAAGUGAUCCACCUGGGGAGUACGACCGCAAGGUUGAAACUCAAAGGAAUUGACGGGGGCCCGCACAAGCGGAGGAACAUGUGGUUUAAUUCGAUGAUACGCGAGGAACCUUACCUGGGCUUAAAUGCAGAACGACGGACCGGGAAACUGGUCUUUCUUCGGACGGACUGCAAGGUGCUGCAUGGCUGUCGUCAGCUCGUGCCGUGAGGUGUCGGGUUAAGUCCCAUAACGAGCGCAACCCUCAUCAUUAGUUGCCAGCGGGUAAUGCCGGGGACUCUAAUGAAACUGCCGGUGUAAACCGAGAGGAAGGUGGGGAUGACGUCAAGUCAGCACGGCCCUUAUGUCCAGGGCUACACACGUGUUACAAUGGUCGGUACAAAGGGCAGCUA
rnacentral:rRNA from 1 species